rnacentral:rRNA from 1 species
AUACGUAGGUGGCAAGCGUUGUCCGGAUUUACUGGGUGUAAAGGGCGUGUAGGCGGGAUGGUAGGUCAGAUGUGAAAUACCCAGGCUCAACCUGGGGGCUGCAUUUGGAACCACCGUUCUUGAGUGUCGGAGAGGAAAGCGGAAUUCCUAGUGUAGCGGUGAAAUGCGUAGAUAUUAGGAGGAACACCAGUGGCGAAGGCGGCUUUCUGGACGAUAACUGACGCUGAGGCGCGAAAGCGUGGGGAGC